GGGCAGCUGGGAGGAGUAUGAGAAAGCUCCAGAACCUCUAAGCAAGGCAGCACCCAUCAGCUAUGGUAGUGAGUCCCAAACAUGUCUGUCUAAGGGCAACUCUUGGGCUUCAGAAAUGCUGAUGUCAGAUCCCAACCUCAGAGAUUGUGAUUUGCUUGGCCUGUGGUGGGGCCUGGCUUUGGACAUUUUAAUAUAUCCCCAGGUGACUGGAAUGUGCAGACAGGCUUGAGCCAUCCUCCAGAGAAGGGUGCAGGUAUGAGAAGUUAGCAGCCAGGACUCUUAGCACCUAAGGCAUGGGUGCACCAGCAGGUAGAGGCAUGGGAGAGCAUUACAGUAACUGCUAUGUCACAAGACAUCACACUGCUCAGACUCUGUUGUGCCCAAGAAUCUGCUGGGUCAGGGGAGUGUCCUACUAAAAUGCAGAGUCUGAUUCAGCAUGUCUGGGUUGGGCCCAGAACUGCAUUUCUAACAAGCUCCCAGAUGCUGCUGUCACACCAAGGACUACACCAAGUACAUGGCUUCCUCAUUGCACUACUGUCAUCAUUCAGGUUGCUGGAAAAAUCAGCUAUUGAGGACCCACCAUCUAUGUAGACCCCAGGCUCCAGCUUCACUGAGAUAUGGCUGUAUCUUCUGAUUUUAAAAGGACUGUCCUAAGGAGUCCUUGGAAGCCAUGCUUCAGCCCAAAGGUUCUCAGCAAGGAAGUUGAGCAACAUCCCAUAAGAGAGAAGGGAAUGCAGGGGAAGGUCCCACGUGAAUGUUCACCAAAGGGUGAACGCAGUAGAGCAGAUUUUUAAUAAUCAAGUGGUUUGGAUGAUCCACUCUGUGAGUCAGUUAGCUUCUUUCUCCAGACACUCCUGUCAUCUCCCAACAGAUUCAUGGACAAAGUGGCCAUGGUGGCAGGAAUUGAAGUUAUGUAUGGGCUCAGCAACAUGGACUUACACUCACCAAGGCUGACCUGGCUGCAGCCUCUGCUGAGCAUUCAGUUGGCCAGCAGCAAAGAUCAACACUGAGUCUCUGAUAGGGACAAUUCCUCAGAGUGAUCAGCCAACUUAUUUAGUGGUAAGCUGACUAAACGGGACUGUUUCCAUCAUGGAAGAGGCAGUGUUUUGUUCUUACUGGAAUAGACACUUACUCUGGACACAGAUUUGCUUUCCUCCCAUUCCCCCCACCAAAAAGGAUUUGCUUUUUCUGAAUGCAAUGCUUCUGCAAAAAAUAAAAAAUAAAAUAAUAAUAAUACCAUCUGUGGACUUGAAGAAUACUUUUUUCACCAUCUUGGUAUUCCCACAUAACAUUACUUCUGAGUAAGG
ensembl:lincRNA